rnacentral:tRNA from 1 species
GGCGAUUUAGCUCAGUUGGUUAGAGCGUGUGCUUAACACUAGCAACUCCUUCUCCACGGAGAGCGAGCGUUGUAGCGUUGCGCACAAGGUCGGCGGUUCGACCCCGUCAAACGUCA